GGGAGUCUAUCCUAUAUGCGAGUGUGCGGGUGCAAAACCCAUACGCGAAAUGAAAGUGAAAGGUGCGCAGGGCAACCAGCAGCAUCGACCGACCCCGUAAGAAGGGUUUGAGUAAGAGCAUAUCUGAUAGGACCCGAAAGAUGGUGAACUAUGCCUGAGUAGGGUGAAGUCUUGGGAAACCAAGAUGGAGGCUCGUAGCGGUGUUAACGUGCAAAUUACUCGUCAAACUUGGGUAUAGGGGCGAAAGACUAAUCGAACCAUCUAGUAGCUGGUUCCCUCCGAAGUUUCCCUCAGGAUAGCUGAAGCAAUUAUGUAGUUUUAUCAGGUAAAGCGAAUGAUUAGAGGUCUCAGGGAGGUUUUCUCUUGUCCUAUUCUCAAACUUUAAAUUGGGUAAAGAACUCUUUGUUAUCUUAACUGAACAUUGAGACAG
rnacentral:rRNA from 1 species